rnacentral:rRNA from 1 species
UACGGAGGGUGCGAGCGUUGUCCGGAAUCACUGGGCUUAAAGCGCGUGUAGGCGGGACGGCACGUCGGUCGCUGAAAGCCCCCGGCUCAACCGGGGAACGGACGCCGAUACGACCGGCCUGGAGGGACGUAGGGGGACCUGGAACUUCCGGUGGAGCGGUGAAAUGCGUUGAGAUCGGAAGGAACGCCCGUGGCGAAAGCGAGGUCCUGGACGUUUUCUGACGCUGAGACGCGAAAGCCAGGGGAGCGAACGGG